AGCAGCCGCGGUAAUUCCAGCUCCAAUAGCGUAUAUUAAAGUUGUUGCAGUUAAAAAGCUCGUAGUUGAAUUUCGGGAUCAGUUCGCUGGUCGUGCCUCUGGUAUGUACUGGUGUUUCUGGUUCCUCCCUUCUGAAGAACUGUCAUGUCAUUAAUUUGGUGUUGCGGGGAAACAGGACUGUUACUUUGAAAAAAUUGGAGUGUUUAAAGCAGGCUA
rnacentral:rRNA from 1 species